AGGGUUUGAUCAUGGCUCAGAACGUACGCUGGCGGCACGCCUAACACAUGCAAGUCGAACGCAGUAGCAAUACUGAGUGGCAAACGGGUGAGUAUAAUGUGGGAAUCUGCCUUUUGGUUCGGAAUAACACGAGGAAACUUGUGCUAAUACCGGAUAAGCCCUUACGGGGAAAGUUUUAAUGCCAAAAGAUGAGCCCGCACUUGAUUAGCUAGUUGGUAAGGUAAUGGCUUACCAAGGCAACGAUCAAUAGCUGUUCUUAGAGGAAGACCAGCCACAUUGGGACUGAGACACGGCCCAAACUCCUACGGGAGGCAGCAGUGGGGAAUCUUGCACAAUGGAGGAAACUCUGAUGCAGCGAUGCCGCGUGAGUGAAGAAGGCCCUUGGGUUGUAAAGCUCUUUCGUCGGGGAAGAAAAUGACUGUACCCGAAUAAGAAGGUCCGGCUAACUUCGUGCCAGCAGCCGCGGUAAUACGAAGGGACCUAGCGUAGUUCGGAAUUACUGGGCUUAAAGAGUUCGUAGGUGGUUGAAAAAGUUGGUGGUGAAAUCCCAGAGCUUAACUCUGGAACUGCCAUCAAAACUUUUCAGCUAGAGUAUGAUAGAGGAAAGCAGAAUUUCUAGUGUAGAGGUGAAAUUCGUAGAUAUUAGAAAGAAUACCAAUUGCGAAGGCAGCUUUCUGGAUCAUUACUGACACUGAGGAACGAAAGCAUGGGUAGCGAAGAGGAUUAGAUACCCUCGUAGUCCAUGCCGUAAACGAUGUGUGUUAGACGUUGGAAAUUUAUUUUCAGUGUCGCAGCGAAAGCGAUAAACACACCGCCUGGGGAGUACGACCGCAAGGUUAAAACUCAAAUGAAUUGACGGGGACCCGCACAAGUAGUGGAGCAUGUGGUUUAAUUCGAAGAUACGCGCAGAACCUUACCAACACUUGACAUGUUCGUCGCGACUCUAAGAGAUUAGAGUUUUCGGUUCGGCCGGACGAAACACAGGUGCUGCAUGGCUGUCGUCAGCUCGUGUCGUGAGAUGUUGGGUUAAGUCCCGCAACGAGCGCAACCCUCACUUUUAGUUGCCAUCAUUAAGUUGGGCACUCUGAAAGAACUGCCAGUGAUAAGCUGGAGGAAGGUGGGGAUGACGUCAAGUCCUCAUGGCCCUUACGUGUUGGGCUACACACGUGCUACAAUGGUAUCUACAACAGGAAGCAAGACUGCGAAGUUAAGCAAAUCCCUAAAAGAUACCUCAGUUCGGAUUGCACUCUGCAACUCGAGUGCAUGAAGCUGGAAUUACUAGUAAUCGUGGAUCAGCGUGCCACGGUGAAUGCGUUCCCGGGUCUUGUACACACCGCCCGUCACACCAUGGGAGUUGGUUCUACCUUAAGGCAAGGUUUCAAACCCUUGACCACGGUAUAGUCAGCGACUGGGGUGAAGUCGUAACAAGGUAGCCGUA
rnacentral:rRNA from 1 species